rnacentral:pre_miRNA from 1 species
UUAUAUUGUAAGUGAAGAUAAUGUUGAUGAAAGGGAUACUACAAUUCAUAAUCUUUCUCCUUUGCCACCCAAUUGUAGUAUCCUUUUCAUCAACAUUAUCUUCACUUACA